GAUGAACGCUGGCGGCGUGCCUAAUACAUGCAAGUCGAGCGAACAGACGAGGAGCUUGCUCCUUUGACGUUAGCGGCGGACGGGUGAGUAACACGUGGGUAACCUACCUAUAAGACUGGGAUAACUUCGGGAAACCGGAGCUAAUACCGGAUAAUAUUUCGAACCGCAUGGUUCGAUAGUGAAAGAUGGCUCUGCUAUCACUUAUAGAUGGACCUGCGCCGUAUUAGCUAGUUGGUAAGGUAACGGCUUGCCAAGGCAACGAUACGUAGCCGACCUGAGAGGGUGAUCGGCCACACUGGAACUGAGACACGGUCCAGACUCCUACGGGAGGCAGCAGUAGGGAAUCUUCCGCAAUGGGCGAAAGCCUGACGGAGCAACGCCGCGUGAGUGAUGAAGGUCUUCGGAUCGUAAAACUCUGUUAUUAGGGAAGAACAAACGUGUAAGUAACUGUGCACGUCUUGACGGUACCUAAUCAGAAAGCCACGGCUAACUACGUG
rnacentral:rRNA from 1 species